UUUUCAGAUUGCUCCUGUGUUUCAUAGAUGGGAAAUCAUACUGAUGACUCAACCAUAUAUAGCAUUAUUUUGCUGGUUCAUGCUACCUCAGCGGAAACAGCUGCCAAAGGUCAUCUGACAUAAUAGCUGAUGAAUUCAAGCCCAGUGGAUUUCAUUUGCAAUUUUCAAUUUACUGAGGCCUCCAAACCCCACGGUGAUAAAAGCUUCCCCUAUCGUGGCCUGUCACAAACAUCAAGAAACUGCACAAACCCACAAGAAAGAAAAAAGAGAAAGCUGUGCAUCAUCACAGCUAUAGAUAAGGAGAACAGGAAGAAAUGGUAUCAUGCAGGAAGAUGGGGAGCAGCCUGUGUGGCUAGUUCUCUAAAUGCCAAUUGAAACGAAAAGACUAUGAGGAACAAUCAAAUAACUUCCACAGAAUAACAACAUGUUUCUUUGGAGCUUUUAUGUGAAAAUUGCCUUCUAAUCUCUGACUUGACAUGCUCCCACACAAAAAUGUAAGUGUAAAUAUGCAAAUAAAUAAAUGAAUAAAU
ensembl:lncRNA novel transcript